AGAGCCUGAAUCAGUGUGUGUGUUAGUGGAAGCGUCUGGAAAGGCGUGCGAUACAGGGUGACAGCCCCGUACACAAAAAUGCACAUAUUGUGAGCUUGAUGAGUAGGGCGGGACACGUGGUAUCCUGUCUGAAUAUGGGGGGACCAUCCUCCAAGGCUAAAUACUCCUGACUGACCGAUAGUGAACCAGUACCGUGAGGGAAAGGCGAAAAGAACCCCGGCGAGGGGAGUGAAAAAGAACCUGAAACCGUGUACGUACAAGCAGUGGGAGCACGCUUAGGCGUGUGACUGCGUACCUUUUGUAUAAUGGGUCAGCGACUUAUAUUCUGUAGCAAGGUUAACCGAAUAGGGGAGCCGAAGGGAAACCGAGUCUUAACUGGGCGUUAAGUUGCAGGGUAUAGACCCGAAACCCGGUGAUCUAGCCAUGGGCAGGUUGAAGGUUGGGUAACACUAACUGGAGGACCGAACCGACUAAUGUUGAAAAAUUAGCGGAUGACUUGUGGCUGGGGGUGAAAGGCCAAUCAAACCGGGAGAUAGCUGGUUCUCCCCGAAAGCUAUUUAGGUAGCGCCUCGUGAAUUCAUCUCCGGGGGUAGAGCACUGUUUCGGCA
rnacentral:rRNA from 1 species